AAAUUGAAGAGUUUGAUCAUGGCUCAGAUUGAACGCUGGCGGCAGGCCUAACACAUGCAAGUCGAGCGGUAGCACAGAGAGCUUGCUCUCGGGUGACGAGCGGCGGACGGGUGAGUAAUGUCUGGGAAACUGCCUGAUGGAGGGGAUAACUACUGGAAACGGUAGCUAAUACCGCAUAAUGUCGCAAGACCAAAGUGGGGGACCUUCGGGCCUCAUGCCAUCAGAUGUGCCCAGAUGGGAUUAGCUAGUAGGUGGGGUAACGGCUCACCUAGGCGACGAUCCUAGCUGGUCUGAGAGGAUGACCAGCCACACUGGAACUGAGACACGGUCCAGACUCCUACGGGAGGCAGCAGUGGGGAAUAUUGCACAAUGGGCGCAAGCCUGAUGCAGCCAUGCCGCGUGUGUGAAGAAGGCCUUCGGGUUGUAAAGCACUUUCAGCGGGGAGGAAGGCGGUGAGGUUAAUAACCUCAUCGAUUGACGUUACCCGCAGAAGAAGCACCGGCUAACUCCGUGCCAGCAGCCGCGGUAAUACGGAGGGUGCAAGCGUUAAUCGGAAUUACUGGGCGUAAAGCGCACGCAGGCGGUCUGUCAAGUCGGAUGUGAAAUCCCCGGGCUCAACCUGGGAACUGCAUUCGAAACUGGCAGGCUAGAGUCUUGUAGAGGGGUAGAAUUCGUGUAGCGGUGAAAUGCGUAGAGAUCUGGAGGAAUACCGGUGGCGAAGGCGGCCCCCUGGACAAAGACUGACGCUCAGGUGCGAAAGCGUGGGGAGCAAACAGGAUUAGAUACCCUGGUAGUCCACGCCGUAAACGAUGUCGAUUUGGAGGUUGUGCCCUUGAGGCGUGGCUUCCGGAGCUAACGCGUUAAAUCGACCGCCUGGGGAGUACGGCCGCAAGGUUAAAACUCAAAUGAAUUGACGGGGGCCCGCACAAGCGGUGGAGCAUGUGGUUUAAUUCGAUGCAACGCGAAGAACCUUACCUGGUCUUGACAUCCACAGAACUUUCCAGAGAUGGAUUGGUGCCUUCGGGAACUGUGAGACAGGUGCUGCAUGGCUGUCGUCAGCUCGUGUUGUGAAAUGUUGGGUUAAGUCCCGCAACGAGCGCAACCCUUAUCCUUUGUUGCCAGCGGUCCGGCCGGGAACUCAAAGGAGACUGCCAGUGAUAAACUGGAGGAAGGUGGGGAUGACGUCAAGUCAUCAUGGCCCUUACGACCAGGGCUACACACGUGCUACAAUGGCAUAUACAAAGAGAAGCGACCUCGCGAGAGCAAGCGGACCUCAUAAAGUAUGUCGUAGUCCGGAUUGGAGUCUGCAACUCGACUCCAUGAAGUCGGAAUCGCUAGUAAUCGUAGAUCAGAAUGCUACGGUGAAUACGUUCCCGGGCCUUGUACACACCGCCCGUCACACCAUGGGAGUGGGUUGCAAAAGAAGUAGGUAGCUUAACCUUCGGGAGGGCGCUUACCACUUUGUGAUUCAUGACUGGGGUGAAGUCGUAACAAGGUAACCGUAGGGGAACCUGCGGUUGGAUCACCUCCUUACCUUAAAGAA
rnacentral:rRNA from 1 species